rnacentral:rRNA from 1 species
ACAGCUCAAAUUUGAAAUCUGGCUCCGGCCCGAGUUGUAAUUUGCAGAGGAAGCUUCUGGUGAUAUACUGUCUAAGUCCCCUGGAACGGGGCGCCACAGUGGGUGAGAGCCCCAUAUGACAGAUGUAGAUCCUGUGUGAAGCUCCUUCGACGAGUCGAGUAGUUUGGGAAUGCUGCUCAAAAUGGGAGGUAAAUUCCUUCUAAAGCUAAAUAUUGGCCAGAGACCGAUA